AGUGAACGCUGGCGGUAGGCCUAACACAUGCAAGUCGAACGGCAGCACAGAGGAGCUUGCUCCUUGGGUGGCGAGUGGCGGACGGGUGAGGAAUACAUCGGAAUCUACUCUGUCGUGGGGGAUAACGUAGGGAAACUUACGCUAAUACCGCAUACGACCUACGGGUGAAAGCAGGGGAUCUUCGGACCCUGCGCGAUUGAAUGAGCCGAUGUCGGAUUAGCUAGUUGGCGGGGUAAAGGCCCACCAAGGCGACGAUCCGUAGCUGGUCUGAGAGGAUGAUCAGCCAGAAUGGAACUGAGAAACGGUCCAGACUCCUACGGGAGGCAGCAGUGGGGAAUAUUGGACAAUGGGCGCAAGCCUGAUCCAGCCAUACCGCGUGGGUGAAGAAGGCAUUCGGGUUGUAAAGCCCUUUUGUUGGGAAAGAAAUCCAUCUGGUUAAUACCCGGGUGGGAUGACGGUACCCAAAGAAUAAGCACCGGCUAACUUCGUGCCAGCAGCCGCCGUAA
rnacentral:rRNA from 1 species